GACGAACGCUGGCGGCGUGCUUAACACAUGCAAGUCGAACGGAAAGGCCCCUUUUGGGGUACUCGAGUGGCGAACGGGUGAGUAACACGUGAGUAACCUUCCCUUGACUUCGGGAUAACUUCAGGAAACUGGGGCUAAUACCGGAUAGGAAUCCUUGCUGCAUGGUGGGGGUUGGAAAGCUUCGGCGGUUUUGGAUGGACUCGCGGCUUAUCAGCUUGUUGGUGGGGUAGUGGCUUACCAAGGCUUUGACGGGUAGCCGGCCUGAGAGGGCGACCGGCCACAUUGGGACUGAGAUACGGCCCAGACUCCUACGGGAGGCAGCAGUGGGGAAUAUUGCACAAUGGGCGGAAGCCUGAUGCAGCAACGCCGCGUGCGGGAUGACGGCCUUCGGGUUGUAAACCGCUUUCAGCAGGGGAGAAGCUUGUGGUGACGGUACCUGCAGAAGAAGCACCGGCUAACUACGUG
rnacentral:rRNA from 1 species